rnacentral:lncRNA from 1 species
CAGCAAGGAGGCGAGGAGCGGCGGCGGCGCUGAGCCGGGCCCGGGUGUGGGGGCGCCUAUAUCCCCAGCCCAAGCUGCAGGAAGCCGCGCCGCUUCCUCGGAGGGGCUGGGACGGCGGCGGCCACGUGGGGGGCGGGGGCGACGCUCGGGGCCCGCGGCUGGAGGGGGAGUCGCUGCCUCACCCGCGCCUGGCGCCCGCGGCUCCCUCCGCCUCGCCGGCGUUGGCCCACCCUCUCGUAGCUCACCCCGCGAGGCUGGACAGCUCCCGGAACCCCGGAACCGGGAUCUAUUUCGGGGGCUCGGCUGCGUGGCGCCCAGGACUCUCCAGGGUCUCCCAGGAUCGCUCCCCGAAUUCGAGUCGCCCCCUCUCUCUUUCGGGAAUACCAGCUGAUGUCAGUCCGCCAGCCAAAACCAGGGAGGAGAAGCGGGAGCCAGCCCUCUGGAGUCGGGAGAAGGAAGAAGGUGCCACAGCUCUUCAGGACCACGGUUGGGAGAAAGAAUGGAGGGGUUUUAGAACCUUCAGUGUGCGACUUCAUGUGCCAGUCUUCAUCUCAGGAUCUCAAGCUCUUGGAUCAUGGGCACGGAUAACCUGUUGUCCUCCUCUAUGGUCAAGAGGCUGCUUUUGCAAAGAAUCCAGUGGGAGAGAGUCAAUGGCCUGCUUGACGUGAACUCCAAAGUCCUCCUGAUCAGAAUACCAAUUUCUUACUGGGUCUGGAAAGGAGGAGAGAAGGAUAGAGAGUUUCUUCUAGGACCAAAUUGAUUCCUCCACAAAUAGGAAGAUCCCCAGACUGUGUGCACACACCCUCCUCCUCCUUCCUUCUCCAACCCUGGCUGGACCAUGACAUCACAUGGUGGAGGCUGUUUUUUAAAAAGAACUCAGGCCAGAUUUACAAGAAUGAUGCUCAGGCAGCGUGACUGUCAAGGACCGUGGCCAAGUGACCCAUAGCACACACCCAGCAGUGCUGAGAACAUAGCUAGUCCCUUAGCACCUGGGGCUGACUCAUGGUUGCUGUAGGACCCAAUGCCAGAUGCCAGGAUUGCUUUCUCCCUCCAUUCAUUAGGACUGUCCCAUGAAACCCUCCCCAGGAACCCUUCUACCCCAUCCCGGCAUGCCAGGAGCCUGGAUACUGCAUAACACAGGGUACUCAUAUUUGUUUACCAAGCCUUGAAGAUGACAGGCAAUAUGCUGAUAUGCUCAAUGCAUCAUACAAAUUGUUUUAUUUAAAACUGAACUAUUAAAUUAAGUAUCAUAGCAACUCACUUUACAGACAAGGAAACUGAAGCUCAAAGGUUAAGUAAGGGCCAGGCAUGGUGGCUCACUCCUGUAAUCCCAGCAGUUUGGGAGGCUGAGGUGGGAGGAGGAUUGCUUAAGCCCGCGAGUUUGAGACCAGCCUAGGCAAUAUAGGGAGACCCCAUCUCUACAAAAAAUUAUCUGGGCCUGGUGAUGUGUGCCUGUAGUCCCAGCUACUUGAGAGGCUGAGGUGGGAGGAUUGCUUGAGCCCAGAAGUUGAGGCUGCAGUGAGCCAUGAUCAUGCCAUUGUACUCCAGCCUGGGCAGCAAAGCAAAACCCUGUAUUGAAAACAAACAAACAGGCUGGGCACGGUGGCUCACACCUGUAAUCCCAACACUUUGGGAGGCCGAGGCAGGUGGAUCACCUGAGGUCAGGAGUUAGAGACCAGCCUGGCCAACAUGGUGAAACCCGCCUCUACUGAAAAUACAAAAAUUAGCAGGGCAUUGUGGCACAUGCCAAGGUGGGCAGAUCACCUGAGGUCAGGAGUUCGAGACCAGCCUGGCCAACAUGGUGAAACCCCAUCUCUACUAAAAAUACAAAAAUUAGCUGGGCGUGGUGGUGGGCGCCUGUAGUCCCAGCUACUCAGGAGGCUGAGGCAGGAGAAUCGCUUGAACCUGGGAGGUGGAGGUUGCAGUAAGCCAAGAUAGUGCCACUGCACUCCAGCCUGGGCGACAGACAAAAAAAAAAAAAAAAA